rnacentral:rRNA from 1 species
CGUACACUCCUACGGGAGGCAGCAGUAGGGAAUCUUCCACAAUGGGUGCAAACCUGAUGGAGCAAUGCCGCGUGAGUGAAGAAGGUCUUCGGAUCGUAAAGCUCUGUUGUUAGAGAAGAACACGUGCUAGGUAACUACUAGCGCCUUGACGGUAUCUAACCAGAAAGUCACGGCUAACUACGUGCCAGCAGCCGCGGUAAUACGUAGGUGACAAGCGUUGUCCGGAUUUAUUGGGCGUAAAGGGAGCGCAGGCGGUCUGUUUAGUCUAAUGUGAAAGCCCACGGCUUAACCGUGGAACGGCAUUGGAAACUGACAGACUUGAAUGUAGAAGAGGAAAAUGGAAUUCCAAGUGUAGCGGUGGAAUGCGUAGAUAUUUGGAGGAACACCAGUGGCGAAGGCGAUUUUCUGGUCUAACAUUGACGCUGAGGCUCGAAAGCGUGGGGAGCGAACAGGAUUAGAAACCCCAGUAGUCCCAUGA